GGAGGAAAAGAAACCAACUGGGAUUCCCCUAGUAACGGCGAGUGAACAGGGAAGAGUCCAGCGCCGAAUCCCCGUUUUCGGGGAAAUGUGGCGUUAAAGAGCGCGCGUGCCGACGCCGCUGGCGUGCCGUAAGUCCUCUUGACCGAGGCUUCCCGGAGCGGGUGAGAGGCCCGUGUCGGCGAGCCGCGCGUCGGAUGCGCGUUCUGGGGAGUCGGGUUGCUUGGGAGUGCAGCCCUAAGCGGGUGGUAGACUCCACCUAAGGCUAAAUACCGCCGCGAGACCGAUAGCGAACAAGUACCGUGAGGGAAAGUUGCAAAGAACUUUGAAGAGAGAGUUCAAGAGUGCGUGAAACUGCUCAGAGGCAAACGGACGGGGUCUCGAAAUCCUGUGUCGGGAGGAUUCAGCUGCGAGGGCUCGUUGGGAUCGCCGCCUCGACGUCUCGCCUAAGAGGUCGUCGGCGACGCGUUCGGCUUCUCGUUGCGCAUUUUCUCCCGUCUCGAGGACGCUGCAACCGGUCUGGUAUGGUAAACGACUCUCGGAUCGCGGGUGUCGAAGGUGGUCGUCUGCCCGUCUCGACGGGCAGAGGGUGAUUAUAGCCUACCCGUCGUGGAGAAGUCGACAGACCGUGGUGACGCCGGCCCGAACGGGCAGUAGCGCCUCCUGUCGUGCGAGACCGACCGACGCAGGCGCGUCGUCCGAGGAGCGUCGCACGCUGCGAGGCGUGGACGCGUCUUCGAAGACCGCCGCUAGCGACGGCGUACUCGCGGGAGGCUCGCGGUUUGCAGCGCGACCGUCGGAUUCCCGUCCGACCCGUCUUGAAACACGGACCAAGGAGUCUAACAUGUGCGCGAGUCGGGGGGUCUCGAACAGGCCCAGAGGCGCAGAGAAAUCGACAAAGUCGGGAUCCCCGCGUCGUCGCGGGGCGCACCGACAGCCCGUCCCGACCGCUCGUCGGCGGAACGGAGCUAGAGCGCACACGUUGGGACCCGAAAGAUGGUGAUCUACGCCUGGACAGGACGAAGCCAGAGGAAACUCUGGUGGAGGUCCGCAGCGGUUCUGACGUGCAAAUCGAUCGUCAGAUCCGGGUAUAGGGGCGAAAGACUAAUCGAACCGUCUAGUAGCUGGUUCCCUCCGAAGUUUCCCUCAGGAUAGCUGGCGCUCGAGGAGACUCAGUCUCAUCCGGUAAAGCGAAUGAUUAGAGGCCGCGGGGUCGAAACGACCUCGACCUAUUCUCAAACUUUAAAUGGGUGAGAGGUCCGCCUUGCUCGAUCGAAGGCCGGACGGAAAGGAUGAGAGUGCCCAGUGGGCCACUUUUGGUAAGCAGAACUGGCGCUGUGGGAUGAACCAAACGUCGGGUCAAGGCGUCCGAUGCGCGACGCUCAUGAGAUCCCAAGAAAGGUGUUGGUCGCUAGAGACAGCAGGACGGUGACCAUGGAAGUCGGCAUCCGCCAAGGAGUGUGUAACAACUCACCUGCCGAAGCGACUAGCCCUGAAAAUGGAUGACGCUCAAGCGUCGAGCCCAUACCCGACCGUCGAGGCAGAGCUCGGAGAGAGAGUUACGCCUCGACGAGUAGGAGGGUCGCGACGGAGAGCGGAGAAGGUCGGGGCGCGAGCCCGGCUGGAGCCUCCGUCGGUGCAGAUCUUGGUGGUAGUAGCAAAUACUCGAGCGAGAACCUCGAGGACUGAAGUGGAGAAGGGUUCCAUGUGAACAGCAGUUGGACAUGGGUGAGUCGGCCCUGAGGCAUCGGCGAAAGCCGUUCCGAAGCGGGGCGUCCGUCCCGCAGCAGCCGAAAGGGAACGGGGUCAAAGUUCCCCGACCCGUCCACGGAGACGGUGCUCUCCGGGGCACCAGUGCGGCGACGCGACCGAACUCGGAGACGUCGACGGAGGACCCGGGGAAGAGUUGUCUUUUCUUUGUAAGGGUUCGCUUCCCUGGAAUCGGAUCGUCCGGAGAUAGGGAGGCCGUUCCCGUAAUGGCACCGCGGUUCCUGCGGUGUCCGGUACGCCUCCGUCGGCCCUUGAAAAUCCGAGGGAGACGGUGUGAUUUUCGUGACGGACCGUACCCAUAUCCGCAGCAGGUCUCCGAGGUGAACAGCCUCUAGUCGAUA
rnacentral:rRNA from 1 species